CCUACGGGAGGCAGCAGUAGGGAAUAUUGCUCAAUGGGGGAAACCCUGAAGCAGCAACGCCGCGUGGGUGAAGGAGUGCUUCGGCAUGUAAAGCCCUAUCGGCAGGGAAGAAGCAAGACGGUACCUGACUAAGAAGCCCCGGCUAACAACGUGCCAGCAGCCGCGGUAAUACGUAGGGGGCGAGCGUUAUCCGGAUUCACUGGGUGUAAAGGGAGCGUAGACGGCCAUGCAAGCCAGGGGUGAAAGCCCGGGGCCCAACCCCGGGACUGCCCUUGGAACUGCAUGGCGGGAGUGCGGGAGGGGCAGGCGGAAUUCCUGGUGUAGCGGUGAAAUGCGUAGAUAUCAGGAGGAACACCGGCGGCGAAGGCGGCCUGCUGGACCGCGACUGACGUUGAGGCUCGAAAGCGUGGGGAGCGAACAGGAUUAGAUACCCCGGUAGUC
rnacentral:rRNA from 1 species